rnacentral:rRNA from 1 species
AUACGGAGGGUGCAAGCGUUGUCCGGAUUUAUUGGGUUUAAAGGGUGCGUAGGUGGCGUGUUAAGUCAGUGGAGAAAGCCUGCAGCUCAACUGUAGAGGUGCCAUUGAUACUGACAUGCUUGAGUAUGGACGAGGUAGGCGGAAUUUGUGGUGUAGCGGUGAAAUGCAUAGAUACCACAAAGAACACCGAUAGCGAAGGCAGCUUACUGGACCAUAACUGACACUGAGGCACGAAAGUGUGGGUAGCGAACAGGAUUAGAAACCCUAGUAGUCC